rnacentral:rRNA from 1 species
UACGGAGGGUGCGAGCGUUGUCCGGAAUCACUGGGCGUAAAGUGUGCGCAGGUGGCCGCGCAAGUCGAGUGUGAAAAUCCCCCGAGCUUAACUUGGGAAUUGCGCUCGAAACUACGUGGCUCGAGUGUGGCAGAGGAAGGUGGAAUUCCACGUGUAGCGGUGAAAAUGCGUAGAGAUGUGGAGGAACACCGAUGGCGAAGGCAGCCUUCUGGGCCAACACUGACGCUCAUGCACGAAAGCGUGGGGAGCAAACAGG